UUGAACGCUGGCGGCAUGCUUUACACAUGCAAGUCGAACGGUAACAGGCCUUCGGGUGCUGACGAGUGGCGAACGGGUGAGUAAUGCAUCGGAACGUACCCAGAGGUGGGGGAUAACGCAGCGAAAGCUGUGCUAAUACCGCAUGUGAUCUGAGGAUGAAAGCGGGGGACCGAGCAGCAAUGUUUGGCCUCGCGCCUUUGGAGCGGCCGAUGUCGGAUUAGCUAGUUGGUGGGGUAACGGCCUACCAAGGCGACGAUCCGUAGCUGGUCUGAGAGGACGACCAGCCACACUGGGACUGAGACACGGCCCAGACUCCUACGGGAGGCAGCAGUGGGGAAUUUUGGACAAUGGGCGCAAGCCUGAUCCAGCAAUGCCGCGUGCGGGAAGAAGGCCUUCGGGUUGUAAACCGCUUUUGGCAGGAACGAAACGGUGUCCGCUAAUACCGGGCGCUAAUGACGGUACCUGCAGAAUAAGCACCGGCUAACUACGUG
rnacentral:rRNA from 1 species